AUCAGGCUGCAAUGUGGUUUCUAGAAAGUAUACAUAUGAGAUAUAUGCUCCUUUUUGAAAUACUAACUUUUCUUAUUUCUAGGUUUCUUCUUAUUUGUUUCAUACAUCCCCUAUCCUGACUAACCUGCUGAAAUAUUAAUUUUCUUUAAGUCUUUCAUAAACAUGAUAGAAAAGAUAGGCAAAACAUAAUUUUAUUCAGAACUUUCAGUCCCUGAGGCUGAAACGUCUUACUUCUUGCUACUAUUGAGCACAUUGUUCCUUCUUCUUCAAGAGGUAAAAUCCAUUCUUGUUUCACAGGCAUGAUUCUAUUUCAUAAUGUUUGUUAUAAUCACUCAGUUUUUUCUUUUUUGCUUUUGACAAACUUUCAAAAUGCUAAUGACUCCAGGAUGUCCUCAGCUCUGAAUGUGUUCUAAGAGUUCCAUUUCUUUUCCCCCGCAGAAGACAUAAGAAUUAGGAGCUGCUGACAUUUCAGUAUGAAGGGCAACUUCACCCUUGCCACCAUCAGCGAAAACAUCACCAGCAGUCUUUACUUUGGACUUGUGAACAUCUCUGGCAACAAUGAGUCUACCUUGAACUGCUCACAUAAACCAUCAGAUAAGCAUUUAGAUGCAAUUCCUAUUCUCUAUUACAUUAUUUUCGUGAUUGGAUUUCUGGUCAAUAUUGUUGUGGUUACACUGUUUUGUUGUCAAAAAGGUCCUAAAAAGGUUUCCAGCAUUUACAUCUUCAACCUGGCUGUGGCUGACUUACUCCUUUUGGCUACUCUUCCUCUCUGGGCAACCUAUUAUUCUUACAGAUAUGACUGGCUCUUUGGACCUGUGAUGUGCAAAGUGUUUGGUUCUUUCCUGACCUUGAACAUGUUUGCAAGCAUUUUUUUUAUCACCUGCAUGAGUGUCGAUAGGUACCAAUCAGUCAUUUACCCCUUUCUGUCUCAAAGAAGAAACCCUUGGCAAGCAUCUUAUAUAGUUCCCCUUGUUUGGUGUAUGGCCUGUCUGUCCUCAUUGCCAACGUUUUAUUUUCGAGAUGUCAGAACCAUUGAAUACUUAGGAGUGAAUGCUUGCAUAAUGGCUUUCCCACCUGAGAAGUAUGCCCAAUGGUCAGCUGGGAUUGCCUUAAUGAAAAAUAUCCUUGGUUUUAUUAUCCCUUUAAUAUUCAUAGCAACAUGCUAUUUUGGAAUCAGAAAACAUUUAUUGAAGACCAAUAGUUAUGGGAAGAACAGAAUAACCCGUGACCAAGUCCUGAAGAUGGCAGCUGCUGUUGUUCUGGCGUUCAUCAUUUGCUGGCUUCCCUUCCAUGUUCUGACCUUCCUGGAUGCUCUGGCCUGGAUGGGUGUCAUUAAUAGCUGUGAAAUUAUAGCAGUCAUUGACCUGGCACUUCCUUUUGCCAUCCUCCUGGGAUUCACCAACAGCUGCGUUAAUCCCUUUCUGUAUUGUUUUGUUGGAAACCGGUUCCAACAGAAGCUCCGCAGUGUGUUUAGGGUUCCAAUUACUUGGCUCCAAGGCAAGAGAAAGAGCAUGUCUUGCCGAAAAAGUAGUUCUCUUAGAGAAAUGGAGACCUUUGUGUCUUAAACAGGAGAGUGGAAUGCAUGUAAUCAACAUGGCUACUUGGUUUGAGGCCCACCUGAAUUAUCUUUAAAUGGCUUUUGUAAAAUAUUAAUUUUUCCCUUAAUCUUUAAA